rnacentral:rRNA from 1 species
UGAUGAAGGCCCUAGGGGUUGUAAAGCUCUUUUGUGUGGGAAGAUAAUGACGGUACCGCAAGAAUAAGCCCCGGCUAACUUCGUGC